CCCUGGUCCUCUCGCAACAAUACUUCGUUUAAUUGGUCAGGCCCGGAAGGGAGCAGCCAGGGUGAAUGACUUGUGUGCCGGGAUGUGGCUGGGGCUU
rnacentral:SRP_RNA from 1 species